rnacentral:rRNA from 1 species
AUUCCUUAUACAUGCAAGUUGAACGAGAAUUCAUUGAGGUGCUUGCACCACUUGGGUUCUAGGGGGAAACGGGGUGAGUAACACGGGAGAAAUUUGCCCUUUAGACUGGGAUAAUUACUGGAAACGGUUUGUAAUACCGGAAGUCUUUUUUGUACCGCAUGGUACUUAGAGAAAAGCUUAGAUUGCACUAAAGGAUGAUCUCGCGGCGUAUUAGUUAGUUGGUGAGAUAGUGGCUCACCAAGACAAUGAUACGUAGCCGGCCUGAGAGGGUGACCGGCCACACUGGGACUGAGACACGGCCCAGACUCGUACGGGAGGCAGCAGCAGGGAAUCAUCGGCAAUGGGGGAAACCCUGACCGUGCAAUGCUGCGUGAGUGAUGAAGGCCUUCGGGUUGUAAAACUCUGUUGUGAAGGAAGAACAACCUAGAUAGAAUCUAGGUCUGACGGUACUUCACCAGAAAGCCAUGGCUAACUACGUGCCAGCAGCCGCGGUAAUACGUAGAUGGCAAGCGUUAUCCGGAUUUAUUGGGCGUAAAGGGUGCUCAGCUGGUUUAUUAAGUUUGUAGUUAAAAUUCGAAGCUCAACUUCGAAGUGCUGCGAAAACUGGUAAACUUGAGUACAGAAGAGGGUAGUGGAAUUCCAUGUGAAGCGGUAAAAUGCGUAGAUAUAUGGAGGAACACCAGUGGCGAAGGCGGCUACAUGGUCUGUAACUGACGGUCAAGCACGAAAGCGUGGGGAGCAAAUAGGAUUAGAUACCUUAGUAGUCCACGCCGUAAACGAUGAAUACUAAGUGUGGAGAAAUUCAGUGCUACAGUUAACGCAAUAAGU